rnacentral:misc_RNA from 1 species
UUUUUUUUUUUUUUUUUUGGUAUUCAAAUCAUUGAUGAACAAUUAUUGCUUUGAUAUAAAUAUCUGUUUUCCUCUCCCUGCACAUAUAUAAUAUUAUUCCCUUCCUCUCUUAAUUCUUCGUGCUGUGUGCCGCAUGUUGGUCUCUUUGUCUGUUUCUGUUGUUGGUUUCUUUGAUGAUCGCUGCUUCUUGUUAUUGCCUAUACCAGCAACAGAU